UGGACACCAUUUUUCUAUAGUGAACCGGUUUCACAAGCUUUCCACGCGCUAAUUAACAAUCAUUUUAAAUUUAAAGAUAGGCUCUCGUGGAAUAACCGUUUAUGUGCACCACUCAGAAUGGACGGACAAGCGCACAACCUUUCUGUUGCUGAUGAAAAUCACAGAAAUGUGGGAAAGAAACGUAAAACAAAACUAAAAGAAUGGAAAGACAGGCAAAGGAAGAUCUUACGGGAUGCGGGAAAACCCUAUACAAAUCGUAAGGGUCAAGAAAAAACUGGGAAAAGCUGUCCAAAAGAGCAUGAGGUGAAACGGAGACGUAAACCUGAGGAUACAAAGGAGAACAAACGACGGAAACAAACCUUCAAAUACCAUGUACAGCAAGCAGGCCAGAGAUUGAAUGUGUGCAAGGUUACUUUCAUGUCUGUGUUCCAGCUAACCAACAGCCGUCUUCAGGCAAGUGAAAAUAUGAAUUAAUGUCUAUAUGAAUAUCAAUUACAAACAUAUUGUAUUCUCUGUACAGAUGCUGACAGAUGCUGUGGGCAGAAUAACAACUGGCGGAUGCUCAAUCUGAUGUCGAUGCUCGUCUCUAUGGGUUACUUUACCCAAGUUGAGCAGAAGUUCAUGGUCUCUGGUCAUUCUUUUCUUCCUUGUGAUCGAUCUUUUGCCACCAUCGAGAAGAGGCGCAAGGUGUCAGUCCUUCAUACACCUGAUGAUGUUUCAAAGAUGAUACUUGAAGCACAACCAGCAAAACCAUUCAAGGUGAUGAGGAUGCAAUGUGAAGACUUCAGGCACCUCCCAGAUUCUGUCCUCAAGCGACCAGCUGGACUACAGAUCACCUCAGUGAGGUGGUUAAAAGUCACAGUUGAGGAUCCUUGGAAUCUGUACGCCAAACAGAGCCACAGUCUGUUUGAGGGAUGGAAGUCGUGGCUGAUCUCCAAACCAAAAGGAGGAGCUACACCUCAACCUCCCUAUUUUGCAAUCCACUACCCUAGAGCAUAUGAGAGUCCUCUGCCCAUCAAAAAAAAAAACAAGUACCAAGAUCUGAUGACCAUGCUCAACUACUUGCCAGCUGCUGCACGCUCUUUUUAUGAAUCACUGCAGAGUGAAUAAUUUGUUGUUAAACCAAGCUACAUAAUUAAACGUUUUUUCUGUGAGUUUAUGAUCCCCUGAACCUGUAUAGUAUGUUGAAUCUGAAUACAUUUCAGAAGACAUGUCACCCCUAUUGUAGGAAAUUAAAUGUAUCGUAGGUGUUUUCUAUGUGAAUCAAUUUGUGUAUGAUUUGAACCAGCACAAUAUAUUGAAUUAAUUUAAUUUUAAG